GAUGAAGAACGUAGCGAAAUGCGAUACGUAAUGUGAAUUGCAGAAUUCAGUGAAUCAUCGAAUCUUUGAACGCAUAUUGCGCUCUCUGGUAUUCCGGAGAGCAUGCUUGUUUGAGUAUCAGUAAACACCUCAACUCCCUUUUCUUUUUUGAAAUGGGAGCUGGACUUGAGUGAUCCCAACACUUUUCUCACUGGAAAGUGGCGGUUCACUUGAAAUGCAGGUGCAGCUGGACUUUUCUCUGAGCUAUAAGCAUAUCUAUUUAGUCUGCCUAAAAAACAGAUUAUUACCUUUGCUGCAGCUAACAUAAAGGAGAUGAGUUCUUGUGCUGACUGAUGCAGGAUUCACAGAGACAGCUUUGCGGCUGACUUUGUAAACUCGAUCUCAAAUCAAGUAAGACUACCCGCUGAACUUAAGCAUAUCAAUAAGCGGAGGA
rnacentral:misc_RNA from 1 species